UUCUCUCUCUUGCUGAUUGUGAUCUGUAUUUUGCUGAGGAUGAAGAGCUGGAGAAGAAGCAGGCUUGACCGUAGUCUUCUCAAGUGGAAUAAAAUGCUGCUAAUCUCUUGCAUAACUGCGUUAUGCAUUGAUCCUCUCGUCUGCUACNUCUGAAACUGAGUUUGAGCCAUAGUAAUGGAAAUGAGUAAAUUUUUUCAAAAACUUCAGAUUUGUGUUUUAAAAAAUAUACCCAUGUCAUCCUAGUGCAAUCAUCAAUAAAUAACAAAAAAUAUUUAAAACCUUGUCCCCCUAUCACGGGCGAAGGACCCCAAACGGUCAGAAUGAACUAAAGAAAACAUAGAGUUCACUUGUGUAUCAUUUGAUUUGAAAGAUUGUCUAUGGCUUUUAGUCUAAGAUACAAGUUCUACAAGAAAGAGGUAUCACUUUGGAGUAAUUUUGGAAAUAAAAGUUUAAGGUAUCCCGUGGAAGGAUGUCCUAACCGACGAUGCCAAAGCCAAGCUCCCGGUUUGCAGUUCCGUGAGCCAGCAUCACAUUGCCUUUUUGAGCAAUCUCAUCCACAUAGUACAGUCCAUUUUUCUCAGUGCCACGCCCAAUAAUCUCCCCCGUCCUGAUAUCCUGAAGAAAACAGAAGUGAGGAUGCAUUAGCAUGGUACAAUUGAGUUCUUUGGUAACAUGACUAAUUGACAACAACUUAUGAGAUAGGGACGGAACAUAUAGACAAUUGGAUAAUCGCAAGGUUGGGGUAAUUUCUAUAUUUCCGGCCCCUUCUACUUGAGUUAAGUCACCAUUAGCAGUUUGCACAUGAGUUCUAAAGGAUUUUGAUGACUCAAGUAUAUCUGAUUUAUCAAAAGUCAUAGUGUCUGUAGCCCCACAAUCAAAAUCCAAAUUUUGUUCCUACUGAUUUGUUUAUUUGAGACUUGACAUGCAGAGGGGUUUUUUUUCGAAUUUUCACAAAGUUUAGGGUCAAAAUUAGACUUUUGCAUAACUGUGGGGCUGUUUUGAAUAACAUGGGGUUCAUUCUGGGAUUUCCCUAAACUUGAGGGACUAGACUCAAAAAAAUGGGGUUUCUUUUGCAAUUUUCGAAAAAUAGGGGACUGAAAUUGAGAGAAGGCAAAAAUGGAGGGUUUGAUGGAUAUUCAUCAAACCCUAUACCUAAUAUUUCCUCCCUUUGACCGAAAAAACGCGCCUCUCUCUCCCUUUGACUGAAAUCAGCCGCUGAUUCCUCCUUUCCUCUCUCGGUUCCGCCUUUAUUUCCUCUCACUGCUCCGCCUCCAUUAACGCCGGCAUAGGCUCCGGCAGUCGACAGCCUGAUGUUUCCUCGGCCAUCUCGGCCUGGGAAGGCGGUCGCGGUUACGCCUCUCUCAGAAAUCUCGGCUCCACCCACGGCUACCGCCGAUCCGGCGGUCUCUCGGCCAUCAACGCCGGCCGCCGCCUUCCCUUUUGCUUCCCACCAUUCGGGGUAGCCGAUGAGUCGAAAGCACCCUUCUUUGGUGUGCCUCGUCAUUCCACAGUUUGUGCAAAUGAGCUUCGAUUUGUCCUCCCUUUUUGGUUUCGAAAAUGGUAAGCCGGGACCUCUGCCGCCGGAGGUGCGUGGCGAGCGUGGGUGGUCGGCCGCUGGUCCAGAGUGGUGGCGGGAGGAGGCGAGUCCAGCCCUAUUUCUCCCGAUGAUGAGCCUUUAUUUUCGGUAGAGUUGGUUGCCGGCUGCAGGAUCUGUAGCCGGGCGGCCUCUCGUCUUACUUUUGAGAAAGCCGAUUCGGCUGAGGGAAUGGGUGUUUCUUUGAGGAUGUCUCGCCGGAUGUUAUCGUAUUUCCGAUCCAACCCAGAGAGGAAUUGAUAGAGUCUCCGGUUCUCGAUUAAUUUCUGGUAUUUAUUGAUUCCUUCUUCACAACACCCGAGAGGAUCCGGCUCCCUUCGAUCGAUGGUGAGCCAAAUCGCCUGCAGUUCGUUCCAAUAAUCCUCCAGAGUAAGUACUCCUUGGCUUACUUUGUUGGCCUUAACUUCAAGGUCGUAAAUCUGAAAAGGAUCGACCCCGCUUCCAUAGGUGAUAGCGAGGCUAUCCCAGACAGCUUUUGCCGUUUGGUGUUGAGCAAAGUUCACCACUAACUUUGUUCCAUGUUUGUAUGAGCCAUGAAAAACUGAUAGAUCUGUUUCCUCCCAUUUGUAGUAGUCGGGAUCCGUUGUUUUUGGAGGUGGUGGUCGGCCGGUGAUGUGGCCGGAUUUCCCUCUACUCCCUAUGGCCACCUUCAUGAGACGAGCCCAUAGGGCGUAGUUAUUGCCAUCAAGCUUGAUUCCCAGCGAGAUGGUGUUUGAGUUUUGCACUAAAUUUGCAAUCUGUAGUGAUAAUUCUUGUGAGGCUGUUGUUUUUGGAUCGGUAAUUUGGGUUUCUUCUGACAUGUUUUGUUUUGUGGUUUGUUUUCAGGGAAAACAGCGUGAGAUAAGAACAGGUUUGAUCGAAAAAAAGAGGUUUGAGAAAGGGAUUUGGAAACUAUGAUGAUAAUUUUCUGAGUUUCAAGGAUUUAACCUUGCUUUGAUACCAUGUUAAAAAACAUGUUAUCAUCAUAGAAGAGAGAAUUUGUUUCUUGAAUAUUGUUUUUGUAUUUCUUUUUCUUGAUAUUUCCUGCUGAUACAAUCAUCCCCUUUUAUAGUGUUUAGAAAGGGAGCUGAUAUUCUACAACAUCAUGAGGAACCCUACAACAUCAUGAGGAUUCCUACAACAUCAUGAGGAUCCCUACAACAUCAUGAAUAUUCCUGCAACAUCAUGAGGAUCCCUAUAAUUAAGGGAUCCUUGAUUAUCUUUUGACUAACUUUAUCUUUUGACUAACUUUUUUAUUCUCAACACCUCUCGUCUGCUACAUUUCCGUGGUCGACGCCGACAGAUUGUGCCUCGAUGUGGACAAACGAUUAGCCGUCGCCUUCGGUUUUCUUCGCACACUCGUCGACUUCUUCUAUGCGUGCACAU
rnacentral:lncRNA from 1 species